rnacentral:lncRNA from 1 species
AAUACCGACAGUAUAUGGCCGGACUUCUGGCUCCUCCCUAUGGUGUUAUGGAAACGGGCUCUAACAAUGACAGGAUUCCGGACAAGGAGAAUACACCUCUCAUUGAACCUCACGUUCCUCUCCGCCCUGCUCACACCAUUACCAAGGUCCCUUCAGAGAAGAUCCUCAGAGCUGGAAAAAUUUUGCGAAUUGCCAUUCUCUCUCGAGCACCCCACAUGAUAAGAGACAGAAAAUACCACCUAAAGACAUACAGACAAUGCUGUGUUGGGACUGAGCUGGUAGACUGGAUGAUACAGCAGACGUCCUGUGUUCACUCCCGGACUCAAGCUGUUGGCAUGUGGCAAGUCUUGCUGGAAGAUGGCGUCCUCAACCACGACCUGGCCAGAGGACUGCAGAUGACCUAGAGAUUAUCUACGACGAACUCCUUCAUAUUAAAGCCUUAUCCCAUCUUUCUACCACAGUGAAACGGGAGUUAGCAGGUGUUCUCAUUUUUGAGUCUCACGCCAAAGGAGGAACUGUGU